rnacentral:rRNA from 1 species
CCCGGGCCUUGUACACACCGCCCGUCACACCAUGGGAGCUGACUCAACCAGAAAACGUUAUCGCUAACCGUAAGGAGGCGACCGUUGAAGGUGGGGUUGGUGACUGGGGUG